rnacentral:rRNA from 1 species
GUGUCAGCCGCCGCGGUAAUACAGAGGAGGCGAGCGUUGUUCGGAAUCACUGGGCUUAAAGCGCGUGUAGGCGGGAUGCCAGGUACUUUGUGAAAUCCCCCGGCUCAACCGGGGAAUGGCUUGGUAAACCGGCAUUCUUGAGGCAUGUAGAGGCAGGCGGAACUAUGGGUGGAGCGGUGAAAUGCGUAGAGAUCCAUGGGAACACCGGUGGCGAAAGCGGCCUGCUGGGCAUGUUCUGACGCUGAGACGCGAAAGCGUGGGUAGCAAACAGGAUUAGAUACCCUGGUAGUCC